rnacentral:hammerhead_ribozyme from 1 species
AUCUAGCUGACGAAUCCCGAAUAGGACGAAACGUGCGUCCUGGAU